UUGAUAACUUUACCACAGAAGUCGGUCUCCUUUUUGUGGUCACAUUCGGUGACUUUAAAGGAAGAGAAGAGAGGAGAGGAAGGUUUGAAACAGAAGAAACCUAGUGACAAAGAGGUCACUGUUUGGACUCUCUCCUCUGUAGCCCGUAGGGUAUCUGGGGUUGUCUGGUUGUCCCACUGGUGAUGCUCCCCUGUCAGUGGGCACGUGAUCCUGGUGAUGCUGAGGCAAUGCUAAAGGUCAUCCUACCCCUGUCAUUUCUGACCAUUGAAUUUGAAUUUGUCCUGGGAGAGAGGAUUUUCAGCAGGUGUGAAGGACUUCUACUUGAUGCUUUCUGUGAUCCAUCACAACAGCAUUAUUCAAGAGACGCCCACCAUGUCAUAGUCAUGCCACGAUUUCCAAGGAAGCCACUUGGCUCACGUGGUUCAUAUUCACUCCAGUUCCUGAACUUCACUCCCAUGAACUGCCUCGCAGAGUGGUAUGUGGUGCUGCUGCCUCGCAUUAGGGUCAUGG